rfam:Cyanobacterium stanieri PCC 7202, complete genome.
GGGGCUGUAGCUCAGUAGGAUAGAGCAAGUGCCUCCUAAGCACUGGGUCGGUGGUUCGAUUCCGCCCAGUCCCG